UAUCUCUCUCUCUCUCUGUCGUCGAGUGGUGGCGCCAGAACCAGCGAGUGAAAGCAACUGAUGACCCUCUCGCCUACCGCGCGAGCGUCAGCUGAUUGGCCGCUAUUGUCGUGAUGCGUGUACCAGGCCGGACCAGCUGCUGCUCUUUGUAAAGCCAACAUCACAAACCGCGAGACCGGCGAGGGCUCUUCCUUGCGGCGUCGUGCAACAGCAAGUUCGAGAGGAGUAUUGCCGCUGCAGCGCUGGCUCAUUAUUCCUCUUCGCCUCGGGGUCUUCUCCAGGACUCGUCUUCCGCGGCUUUUUUCGAACCUGGCGCCUCCGAUGCAGAGCCGUGCUUGAGCGGCGCCCCGCGGCAGACUCAACCCGCCGGUCGCGUCGUCCCUAAACUGCGGCUUGCCUAAAAUUAAACCCCGCCGCCGGCAAACAGCAGACCUCCCGGCUCAACCCUGGCUCCACUAGCCAAGGACAACGCGCGGCUUUUCGCCGUCGCCUCGGACAGCUACGACACCGAGUCUUCAUCGCCCCCGGGAUCCCCGCCCGAAGUGUCCAAGAAGACUCCGGGAUGCUCAUGGCGCGACCAGUGGCGAAUCGGGGCGCUAAUGGGCGCCUCGGUGGUGUCCCUCUACUGCUGCGUCUUCUGGCUCAUCUACGCCCUCUCCAUGGAGGGUGGCCGGCGACCGGGCCUCUUCCUGUCGGCCACGUGCCUGCUGCUGCUCGUCGCGCUCGGCGUCACGCUUCUCUCCAUCCGCAAGCUGUGCGACCUACUCACCCCCGCGCCAGUUCCCGUCUGACCC